AAAAUAUUUUUUUUUUCACAUUUAAGUUUUAGGUUUUCUCUAAUUCUUACAACCUUUGACAGCCCUUGAAGAAAAGCAAGAACAAAAAAAAAAAUGACAACAUCAAAAAGACUUGCAGAGAGGAAAGUGGCUAAGUUUGAGAAGAACAUAACAAGAAGAGGAUUGAAUCCUCUAACAGGAAAGAACAAAAUGGAACCAGCACACAUUGUUCUUGCACUCUUUGCUGUUUUGGUGGUUGGAUCUUUUGUUUUCCAGGUUGUGAAGAUGGCUAUUAAUGGUGGGAACAAUGUAGAUGGAAGCUUUUAAUAUCUCCAUAAGAAUGCAACAUUAAGAAAUCUUUUUACAAUUAAAUAGUUAAGAGUUUUAACAUUUUCAAACUCUAAAUAAGUUUGUUACAACAUUUUCUCUUGCUUGAUGAAUUAUGGUUUUAA